AAGGUAAACAGAGAGUGUCAACCAUUAACUGAAGGGCCAGGCCAGUUUGAAGGAGGGUUUACCUGAAGACCCUGCUAAUUCUGUGGCCUGAAUGGCUGCUGAGAAAUAAGGGAAGUCGACAGAAACUGGUCCCCUGGCUUCUGCCCUUGACCUCCUGGGCACCCAGGCCAAGAAAGGACCAGGACAGAGGAUGGAGGAAACUGCUCCCAUAAUCUCCGAGCACAUCUCACCAGCCACAGCGACCGAGUUGAGAGCUUCAGACCUCAGCCGCGGAAUCAGCAGGCUGCUGGGAGCUCUGAUCAUUCCAUUGCAGAGCGGGGCUGCUUGCUGGGCCUGGCAAUCGCAAGGCUUUCUCAGAUGGCAUGCCGCGCAGCUCUGCCUCACAUGUGGAGUCCAUCAUCCAGCCCGUUCCUGGGCCUCAUUACAGAGCAAAAUGUGGCAUUUUGUACGGCUUUGAUCAAUGAGACAGCAUUGCUGUAUGGCUCAGAAACCAAAGGGGACAGCUUGCAUUAUAAAUGUUGCUUAAGACACACAGGCAAAAACUCUUCCCAAAACGGUCCACAGGAUUAAGGAAACGACUAACCCUGAAAAUGUGUAGACCAUCUCGAAAGUCCCCACCCCAUGGGCUCAGGCUGGGGAAAGUUUAUGCAAACUGUCUCCAGUUAAGGGCUGCUCGGAAAGAUGGAAGUGGUCCUGUGUUCAUAAUUGGUGUUGGUUUUCACAAAUCG